CGCAUCUGUGCAUGCAGCAUAUCAAUAAGCGGAGGAAAAGAAACUAACAAGGAUUCCCUCAGUAACGGCGAGUGAAGCGGGAAGAGCUCAAAUUUGAAAUCUUGAAAGGUCACCUUUCACGAAUUGUAGUUUAAAGAAGUGUUUUCUGUUACGAUCGUAAUAUAAGUUCUUUGGAAUAGGACAUCACAGAGGGUGAGAGUCCCGUCUAUGAUUGCGAUUUGUAGCUUUGUGAUACACUUUCAAAGAGGUCGGGUUGUUUGGGAAUGCAGCCCAAAACGGGAGGUAAAUUUCUUCUAAGGCUAAAUAUUGGCGAGAGACCGAUAGCGAACAAGUACCGUGAGGGAAAGAUGAAAGGAACUUUGAAAAGAGAGUUAAAUAGUACGUGAAAUUGUCAAAAGGGAAGCGUUUAACACCAGUGUUGUUUUCUGAAAAUCAACCUCUGUUAGCUUUAUGCAUGUUUGUUUAGACCUAAUCAGCUAUCUUGCAUGUUCUAUUGUUUGCAGUGGUGCACUUUUCAGUUUACAGGUCAACAUCAGUUUUUUUUACCGUAAAAAAGUUAAAGAAAGGUAGCUCAUGGCUCCGGUCGUGAGUGUUAUAGUCUUUUUCCUAUGCGGUAGGAGAGACUGAGGUCUGCAGUGUAGGCUAUUUGGCUAGAUACUCAGGUGCUAGUGUGAUACCAUUUCAUAAACAACUUGUUGAUUAUGUUUUGUCUAUUGCAUACUCGCUUGUACUAUCAUACCUACGCUUAGGAUGUUGACGAUCAGCUGAGCGCG
rnacentral:rRNA from 1 species